UGGAGCUUGCUCCCUGGGUGGCGAGUGGCGGACGGGUGAGGAAUACAUGGGAAUCUGCCCAAUCGUGGGGGAUAACGUAGGGAAACUUACGCUAAUACCGCAUACGACCUUAGGGUGAAAGCGGCGGACCGCAAGGCGUCSCGCGAUUGGAUGAGCCCAUGUCGGAUUAGCUAGUUGGCGGGGUAAAGGCCCACCAAGGCGACGAUCCGUAGCUGGUCUGAGAGGAUGAUCAGCCACACUGGAACUGAGACACGGUCCAGACUCCUACGGGAGGCAGCAGUGGGGAAUAUUGGACAAUGGGCGCAAGCCUGAUCCAGCCAUGCCGCGUGAGUGAAGAAGGCCUUCGGGUUGUAAAGCUCUUUUGUCCGGAAAGAAAAGCUUUCGGUUAAUACCCGGAAGUCCUGACGGUACCGGAAGAAUAAGCACCGGCUAACUUCGUGCCAGCAGCCGCGGUAAUACGAAGGGUGCAAGCGUUACUCGGAAUUACUGGGCGUAAAGCGUGCGUAGGUGGUUCGUUAAGUCUGAUGUGAAAGCCCUGGGCUCAACCUGGGAAUUGCAUUGGAUACUGGCGGGCUAGAGUGCGGUAGAGGAUGGCGGAAUUCCCGGUGUAGCAGUGAAAUGCGUAGAGAUCGGGAGGAACAUCCGUGGCGAAGGCGGCCAUCUGGACCAGCACUGACACUGAGGCACGAAAGCGUGGCGGAGC
rnacentral:rRNA from 1 species